rnacentral:rRNA from 1 species
AUUGAACGCUGGCGGCAUGCCUUACACAUGCAAGUCGAACGGUAACAGGUCUCCGGAUGCUGACGAGUGGCGAACGGGUGAGUAAUACAUCGGAACGUGCCUAGUAGUGGGGGAUAACUACUCGAAAGAGUGGCUAAUACCGCAUGAGAUCUACGGAUGAAAGCAGGGGAUCGCAAGACCUUGUGCUACUAGAGCGGCCGAUGGCAGAUCAGGUAGUUGGUGGGAUAAAAGCUUACCAAGCCGACGAUCUGUAGCUGGUCUGAGAGGACGAUCAGCCACACUGGGACGGAGACACGGCCAAGACUCCGACGGGAGGCAGCAGUGGGGAAUUUUGGACAAUGGGAGCAAGCCUGAUCCAGCAAUGCCGCGUGCAGGAUGAAGGCCUUCGGGUUGUAAACUGCUUUUGUACGGAACGAAAAGCCCUGGGUUAAUACCCUGGGGUCAUGACGGUACCGUAAGAAUAAGCACCGGCUAACUACGUGCCAGCAGCCGCCGUAA